UGGGGAAUUUUGGACAAUGGGCGCAAGCCUGAUCCAGCCAUUCCGCGUGAGUGAAGAAGGCCUUCGGGUUGUAAAGCUCUUUCGCAAGGGAAGAAAACUUACUUUCUAAUAAAGAGUGAGGUUGACGGUACCUUGAUAAGAAGCACCGGCUAACUACGUGCCAGCAGCCGCGGUAAUACGUAGGGUGCGAGCGUUAAUCGGAAUUACUGGGCGUAAAGCGUGCGCAGGCGGUUUUGUAAGUCAGAUGUGAAAUCCCCGAGCUCAACUUGGGAACUGCGUUUGAAACUACAAGACUAGAAUAUGUCAGAGGGGGGUAGAAUUCCACGUGUAGCAGUGAAAUGCGUAGAGAUGUGGAGGAAUACCAAUGGCGAAGGCAGCCCCCUGGGAUAAUAUUGACGCUCAUGCACGAAAGCGUGGGGAGCAAACAGG
rnacentral:rRNA from 1 species